UCAGAACACAGGGGCUCAGAAUCCUUAGUCCAGACUCAAGCUCAGGCAAACAGAGACCACUGAAUACAUAACAGGUAUCACAAUCUGGAGAAGUGAAAAAUUCAAGAGGAGCCCUGCCAAAACCAAGCAAAGGCCCAUCUAGUCCUAUGUCCUGUUCUCAUGGUGGCCAACUAGUUGCCCCAAUGGGAAGCCUGUGAACAGAACCUGAGUACAACAGUGCUCUCGCCAAUUAUAAUUCCAGCAACUAGUAUUCAGAAGCCUAGUAGCCAUUCAUAGCCUUAUCCUCCAUGAAUUUGUCUAAUCCUCUUUAAAAGCCACCCAAGUUGGUGACCAUCACCACAUCUUGUGGAAGUGAGUUCCACAGAUCUCAAAUCUUCCGAUUUCCAGCUUCACUGGAUGAUCCUGAGUUCCAGUAUCAUGAGAGGGGGGAAAAUGUCUCCCAUGUCACUUGUGCCAUGCCCUGCAACAUUGGAGGUGGCAUGCUUCUGAAUACCUGUUGCUAAAAUGCAUUGCGGGACAUUUUUAAAUGUCAGCUUGUCACUUCCUGCAUCCUGAGAUGGAGGCUACAUGUCAGAUGUCAGCAUGGCUAUGGGUGUCAAUUCCAAGGUGCUGUGCAGCUGCUUAAGGGUGCUGCAUGCUGCUAUCAGAUGCUUCCCAGUGGGAAAUCGACACCAUACAGUAGGGAUGGAGAACUUCAGGUGCACUGGCCCAAUGAGGUCCUCUGCAUCUGAUGCUCAAGGCUUUCCCCAGGCCCCAAAUUUACCUCAGCUGCACACCUUCUCCCCAGGCUGCAUCCCUCAGCGAGGAAGGGCUGUAGCUCUGUGGUAGAACACCUGCUUCGCACGGAGAAGGUCUGAAGUUCAAUCCCCAGCAUCUCCAUGUAGAGAUGGGAGAGACUCUGCACCCAAAAUCCUGGAGAACCAUUGCCAGUCCCUGAGCUAGUUGGAUGGUCUGAGUUAGAUGGAUCAAUAAGUCAACUUCCUGUGGUCCCAACUUGGAAGCCUCAUUAAGUGUUUGUGUCCUUGAACCCUGAGAGUGAAUCUUGCUUGCCUGAAAGGAGGAGAGAGAGGACUGUGUGCAGAAACUAGCAUACUGUGCAAAGGAAAAAAGCCCAGGGAGGUGGACCAUGAGAGGUAAACCUACUCAAAGAUGGAGCCAUGCUUCUUUUAAAAAAAGAAGAUAUGAGUUGCAUAAGCUGAACAUAUGCAUUACUUUACUUAGAAAUAAAUUGCACUCAGUUCCAUGAUGUUACUCUCCAGGAAGUAUGCCUAGGAUUGCAGUCUUUUUCUUUUUUCAAUAUAUAUAUUUUUAUUAAAUUUGUCAAACCAUUUCACAAUGAUCUCCAUAUCAAAAAAUUAUGUUGUUUCAUAAAUUGACUUCUCACCUCCACAGUGUUUUUACUUGAACCUUUUCUACUAUAUUAUAUCUUUAGUUAUUACAAAAAGUGUCUCCAUCACCAUUAUUUUAUGAUUUUUCUUCCGCUGCUUUUAUCUCAAAUCCUGCCUGUGAUUUCAUUUGACUAUAGCAGGGCUGUCCAGCAGGUCGAUUGUGAUCUACUGGUCGAUCGUGGGAUGUCCAUGGUCGAUCCUGGUCAAACUUUGAACCCUCAGCUAUCCCCCCCCCCAAAAAAAAACCCUCACAAAACUUUGGCUCCCUAAAAAAAGCUCAACAAGUUUGGUCAAUCCAAUCCAAUGGGUAGAUCACUGCCAGUUUUUUUUAUAGUGGGAGUAGAUCCCAGUGUCUUGGUAACUGGACAGCCCUGGACUAUAGUAUUUAGGAUUACAGUCUUAAGAUUUGCUUUUUUCCCUCUUCCACCAGUGAUUGGAAAGAAAGCUCAUCAGAACUUAAGAGAACUUAAGAGAAAACAAAAUAUGCUUUGCCCUCCAAAAAAAAGCCGCUAUUCGUUGUUUACAAUUUUAAACCCAGCAAGCGGAUCUCCACAUCAAUACAGGAAAACGUAUGCUGAAUUCUUCCUAAAGAAUAAGAGGAGGAAGGAAGGAAGAAAUAGAUGAUCGAAAGCUGCAUGGAGAAGCAUUUAAGCAAUAAAAGACGUACAGAGCAUCAUAA
rnacentral:lncRNA from 1 species